UUGAUGAGUAGCAGAGUACGAUUCACAUGUUUCUCGUUUUAGUAAGGUACAGAUUUCACAUGCCAUUAACUUCUUGAAAAGUGCAAGAUUAUAUGUAAUUAAAUGCAUGUGUAAAUAUGAAUGUAAAUCAAGGUCUUUUUGGUAUCUUAGGAGAGUGUUUAAACUUGGUACAUAUGGUAAACCUUACAGUGGAUGUGUCCUCAGCCUC
rnacentral:lncRNA from 1 species